UAAAUUAACAUAAUGUAGCUUGUAAAGUAAUAGUUGUUAUCCCUAUAUUUGACACCUUAUACCAUUCUAUGACAGUCGCCCAUGUUGAUAUCAUCUGCCAU